UGGCAGUUAAAACAGUGCUCCAAAAGUCGCAUAUAGAGUUGUAGCUUUCUGAUUGAAAACAAUGUGUUAAUUCCUUCCGCAUUUAAAUAUAUCUUUUCAAAAUGUUUAAGGAAAAUGUAAAGAGAAGUUUCAGUAUUACAGAACAAUACAAUACUAGCUCCAAUUCUGGGCCGUAACGGUUUGUCAGGAAGUUGAAGAUGGGGAUAGAAAUUUCUUUAUUCUGAUUGUCUAAUAAUUCAAUGCUAUACGACAGGAUUCAUUGCGGAUGGAUGCGCAGUAAAAUGUGGAGAUACAAGCGCUUACUUAGAGAGGAAGAAAAACGUUCAAGAAUUGAACCUUGACAUAAAAAUGGGACGUUAACAAUAACAAAAGCGAAAAUGCGAAACGUUAAUAUAAGUUACCCUUCAUCGUGUUCCAAGCGCUGCAAGGCUUAGAUCAUAUACGUAUACCAUAUAGUAAUUAGGCCAUAUAAUAAUAAUUUCACGAUCAGAUCACAAUGCAGCGAGAAUCGGGUGAUUGCACUCUUCCUCUGCUCCUCCCAUGUAACCUCCGGUCUCAGGGUGCGUUGAUUGGUGGGACCAUGGUAGUUCCCACCCUCGGUGCGUAAGGUCUUCUGUAAGGGGUCCAAGGGAAAGCGGUGCGGAAUGUGUACGUGUAUGUUACGUGACACGAGCUUGAAUGUCGCUGCUCAUUUUCUCCAAUGAAGGCCUAUUGAAGACUCCCAGGCUUUUGAAGAAAGUCGUAAUGCUGUCUUCCUACAUACCUGCUUUCUUUGCUGAUUUUUAGCUAAGGGGUCCUAUUUCCAUUUGAAGUGUUUCUGCUACUUUAUUGUUUGCAGCUCUGGCAUUCCUUUCUAUUAUAUUUCCUACUCGAGUAACUGUCUAUUGAGAACUCUAGAUAUAUUAAAAGGAUGAAAAGGUUGGAUAGUGGACUGUACUGUAAAAAACUAAAUAUAUAUGUACAAUAGAAUAAUGAAAUGUAAUGAUGUUCGUGAAGCUCACGAAUGAUACGAUCAAGCGAUCGAUUUAUGACUAUGUACAAAGCUGUAGCGAAGUUUACAAGCGCAAUAGAUUAAAGCGACACUAGACUGCAAGCGUAGAAGAAUUACAAGCGUAACAAGUUCGAUCGCCAUGUGCGGACCUAUUUAUAUUGUCGUGGGCCAUCGAUUAGGAAAGAAAAAGGAGUGGGGGUUUUGAAUAUUGGAAGGACUAAGCAACACUGAACGUUCGUUGCAAUGUAUUAGGGCAAUGCCUUAACGAACAGCGCUGCAUGAGAAACAACGGAAAAUAGGUAACGGAUUUGAUAUUGGGAUUAUUGGAAGGACAAAUACAUCGCGACGAUACAAACAGGAGACAUGUGUACUAGUACGAGUCGUAUCUGGGCCGACGUUGAGCUCGACUCUGUACAAAAACUAACGUCGCGCUAGUAUUCUUAUACACCGACCCAGAUGACACAAGUAAAAACGAGGUGAUCGGCCGGCGAUCUAAAAUUUAUGAAUUUGAUUUCAGAUACCGUCUAAUCAUAACUUUGCCGUUUCGUUGGCUAGAUACAUUUUUAUCGUUGUUACAAUAAUAACAGUUCUCAUGCUAUUUGCUAUUCGAAUAAUGCGCGCUAUCAUGGCGAUGAGGACUAUUAAAAUAGCGGUGAUUUAGAUUCCGAUGACAUUACAAUAUAGUAAUAUCUUUAGAGUAUAUAUAUACUCUAAGUGCACAUCCAACCCGCGUGAAUCUGUCUCAGCCAAUCGUCAGAGAAAAGGAAUGUCUACUCUUAUUUUCGCUAACGGAGCGCGCUGUGGCCUGACAGUCUUACAGAAACUUGAACAUCACUGUACAUAUAUAUUUUCCCGCGCACGAGGAAACAAUGAUGGAAUGAUACAGAUACAGGUUAACAGAAGAGAAGAAAGUUACGGUUUGUCGAUGUCGAAGGGACGCUCUGGAAUCUCUGGAUUUUGUCGCUAAUCUUUGGUUAUACUACAUGAUGAAAACUGUCUGAAAUAGAAGUUGUAAGACGAAAACAAUUCUUACGUUACUAUUUUACUACGUAUAAUUGGUACAAGAGAACAAAAUUUUUCGUUUAUAAAGAUGAUGAUAUGCUGGUUGGCAUUAUCUUAAUGUGUUAAGAGAUUUAAGACUCUAAGGUUGAAUUAUCAAGUGUAA